rnacentral:misc_RNA from 1 species
UUUCAACCCUCAAGCACUGCUUGGUGUUGGGGCCCUACGGCUGCCGUAGGCCCUGAAAGGAAGUGGCGGGCUCGCUACAACUCCGAGCGUAGUAAUUCGUUUUCUCGCUAUGGACGUUGCGGCGGUGCUCCUGCCGUUAAAGACCCCAUCUUUAACCAAAGGUUGACCUCGGAUCAGGUAGGAAUACCCGCUGAACUUAA